rnacentral:ncRNA from 1 species
AUUUCUAGUGCAUCGAAAGGUUCCUCGGCCGCCAUCGGCGUUCGGGGAUGAAAAGGGAAUGCGAGGGGUGGACCCAAUCCGGGCGCCUUGAUCGCAGCCGACCCCGCGACUGUAGAGUGGCGAGGCUUUCCCAUCCGACGAUCUUGGUCUGACGGUUGGAGCGAUGCGUGGUGCAUUGCGGACCACCAGACCGAGGACGCCGGAAAAGCCACUGGAGUGGCGACUGCGCAGAACCAUGGCUGGACGCCUCUUGUCUACGAAUCGUCCGCCAGCGCAGCGCCGCAAACUCCGGGAAGGUGAGGGACAAGCCGUUGCAUCGGGCAUUGCGCCCGAUGCUGCAGCCAUGAGCCAGGAGACCUGCCCGUCGAUUUCGAACCUAG